rnacentral:rRNA from 1 species
UACGGAGGGUGCGAGCGUUGUCCGGAAUCACUGGGCGUAAAGGGCGCGUAGGCGGCCUGAUAAGUCGGGGGUGAAAUCCUGCGGCUUAACCGCAGGGCUGCCUUCUAAACUGUCAGGCUGGAGCACAGUAGAGGCAGGUGGAAUUCCCGGUGUAGCGGUGGAAUGCGUAGAGAUCGGGAAGAACAUCAGUGGCGAAGGCGGAUCUCUGGGCCUUACCUGACGCUGAGGCGCGAAAGCUAGGGGAGCAAACAGG